GCUUGAUGAUGAUGUCUACAGGACUGAGCAAAUUGUAGUUGGUCCUUCAUUUGCAUGGUUGAUGUAAUCCUGUUUCAAGACGGGGCUGAGAGCAGC